GACGAACGCUGGCGGCGUGCCUAAUACAUGCAAGUCGAGCGCAGGAAACUGACGGAACUCUUCGGAGGGAAGGCAGCGGAAUGAGCGGCGGACGGGUGAGUAACACGUAAGGAACCUGCCUCAAGGAUUGGGAUAACUCCGAGAAAUCGGAGCUAAUACCGGAUAGUUCAUCGGACCGCAUGGUCCGUUGAUGAAAGGCGCGCCGGCGUCACCUUGAGAUGGCCUUGCGGUGCAUUAGCUAGUUGGUGGGGUAACGGCCCACCAAGGCGACGAUGCAUAGCCGACCUGAGAGGGUGAUCGGCCACACUGGGACUGAGACACGGCCCAGACUCCUACGGGAGGCAGCAGUAGGGAAUCUUCCACAAUGGACGAAAGUCUGAUGGAGCAACGCCGCGUGAGUGAUGAAGGUUUUCGGAUCGUAAAACUCUGUUGUAAGGGAAGAACACGUACGAGAGGAAAUGCUCGUACCUUGACGGUACCUUACGAGAAAGCCACGGCUAACUACGUGCCAGCCGCCGCCGUAACAC
rnacentral:rRNA from 1 species